UUCUGACCGUUCUAUUGCUGCUGUGGUAGAAGAUCACUAUUCUUCCUUUAAAUCUAUUAACUAUGGUGUUCCUCAGGGCUCUGUCUUAUCACCCACUCUCUUCUUAUUAUUCUCCAGUGACCUAAACCAAACUUCUUGUCUUAUCCACUCCUACACUGAUGAUACCACCCUGCACUUUUCUACAUCUUUUGUAGAAGUCCAACCCUUCAGGAAGUAAAGAGUUCAUGCAGGGAAGCCACAGAAGACCUGACUUCUGAUCUCUCUAAAAUUUCUGAUUGGGGCAGAGCAAACUUAGUGUUAUUCAAUGCCUCAAAAACUCAAUUCCUCCACCUAUCAACUUGACACAACCUUCCAGAUAACUAUCCCAUCUUCAGUGACACUUAACUGUCCCCCUUUCUAAACUGAAUAUCCUUGGUCUGUCCUUUUCUUAUAAUCUAAACUGGAAAUUUCACAUCACAUCCCUAGCUAAAACAGCUCUUAUGAAAUUAGAUGUUCUGAGACAUCUUCACCAGUUUUUCUCAUCCCCCCCCAACUGCUAACUCUGUACAGGGGCCUUAUCUGUCCAUGUAUGCUUUACAUGUCUGGGGGGGUUCCACUUGUACUGCUCAUCUAGACAUUAUGGAAUCAAAAGCUUUUUGUCUCAUCAGCUCCUCUCCUCUAACUGACUGUCUUCAGCCGGUUUCUCAUCACUGCAAUGUUGCAUCUCUUGCUAUCAUCUACUGCCGUUUUCAUGCUAACUGCUUUUCUAAUCUUACUAACUGCAUGCCUCCCCUCCUCUGACGGCCUCGCUGCACAAGACUUUCUUCUUUCUUUCACCCCCUAUUAUUUUCACCUCUCUAAUGCAAGAGUUAACCAGUAUUCUCAAUCAUUCAUUCCUUUCUCUGGUAAACUCUGGAACUCCCUGCCUGCUUCUGUCUUUCCACCUUCCUAUGACUUGAAUUCCUUCAAGAAGGAGGUUUCAAGACACUUAUCCUUCAAUUUUUGACUGCUGCUUUGGACCCUUUUAUGGGACUGGCAUCUCAGUGGGUCUUUUUAUUUUUUGGUGUGGGGAGGGGGAGGGUUGUUGCCCUUGGCCAGUGUCCCUCCUACUUGAAAAAAUAAAUAAAUAAAAAUAUCACCAGCCAUAUCUUCCCAACACAAAUACUGACAACAGCCCCUGUGUCAGGCUGUGUGUACCAGAUGAGGCCGUGUCAAUGCUCACCUUUGAGAACGUCAUAUUUGAGGCGCCAGACGUGAGACAGCAACUCAUAGCCAAGGUUGCUGUCGUCUCCGCUAGCUGGACUGGUGGUGUAUCCCUCACAUCUGGUCAUCAAGGAGUACCCCAUGGUCAAGUCCUUGCACACCGAUCUGUUCUGAUGGAAGCAGUUGGAGGGUGUGGAGGAUGUGCACAAGGAUGGCCAAGGAAAUCCUUCUCAAAUACCCAGAGAUCCUCCAUGCCGCCCACCCCUUCUUCCUCUCCCUCAAGUUUGUGGGUGCUGGUGGCUCUCUCCUGGAUGGAGCAGUUUUUGUGGAUCUAUUUACCCAAGAACAACUUGUCAACAAUUCCUGUAGAUGUCGUCAUCAGUGAGGUCAGUGUUAGAUACCAACUUGCUGCUCAGGUGUCUGUUGUACCUGCUGGCUGGCAUCUCCACUUUGUCUCUCCUGGUAACCAAGUCUGUAUGUGCUUGGUGGUGUAUCCUGAAAAUUUAAAGAUCCAGGAGAACUCUGUCACCAAGAACCUGCAAAUGAAUGUCAUUGGGUGGCUGAUGGCAGCUCCUCAAGUGAACCCAGAGAUCACUGGGCUAAUAAAGUACAGUAUGAUGGGUGCCUUGGAGAAGCUGUGCCUUGAGUUGAAGGCUGCAGUCACCUUCAGAAAAGAGCAAAGCUGCAACAAGUCAUCCAAGUACUUUGUCAAGAAGGUUUAUGUUGAAGGCAACCUCCUGCACUGCUCUCAGGAGAACAGUGGGACUCAUGGAUGCCUCCAAGACCCACAGAGGAUUGGAAGGCAUAAAUUCAAUCUUGGAUAACUAUUGACAUUUAAAACUGGCAGGUCAAGUUGGGCGAUACAAGUGUGUGCUGGAAGGAAGCUGUCAUCUGCUGGCUUUUGGAUUAUCAACUUGGAAGCCUGGAAGUGAUAGAAACAAGGAAGAGGAGAAGAUAGAUGAUAAUAAGGAGGGAAGAAAGAGAAAGAGAGAGAGAGAAGACAACAAAGAAGGAAGAGGACAUGAGAGAAGAAUGAGGUUAAUAGAAGAGGAAGAAAAAAAGAAGAAAUGAGAGAAAGAUAGAAAAGAUAAAUAAAAGAAAAAUAAAUCCUCCCCCUGCCCCCCUUUCUCUCUCUCUCUCUCUCUCUCUCUCUCUCUCUCUCUCUCUCUCUCUCUCUCUCUCUCUCUCUCUCUCUCUCUCACAAUCCACAGACCCACAGUAUGUCUCCCACAGUAUGUUGACAAACCCAGUCACUCCCCACAGCCUCUCACAAAUCUCUCUCUCUCUCUCUCUCCAUGCCUAAGAGAGGAACCUGGUCAGUCCCUGUGAGAAAUUUUGCAACAUUUUCUGUUCAAGCAAGAGUUCAUGAAAGACUUCCCAAACAGUACAAAUGACUGGAUGGUCUGGGAAGUAUUCACUCUGGAAAUACAGUGAGGGGUUAAUGAAAGGAAGAAUAUUGGAAAAUGUGUGUUAAUUUAGAUUCCUGUGGUGUGUGGAUGGAAGGACUGGGUGAAUAUAGACGGCAGAAGAGGUGAGGAGUGUAUGCUAACUAAAGGCAGGAAGUGAAGGACUGGAUAAAUAUUAGACAGAAGAGGUGAUAGAAGCAAUGGACUAGAUAUACAGAGAUAAG